rnacentral:rRNA from 1 species
UUGGAGGGCAAGUCUGGUGCCAGCAGCCGCGGUAAUUCCAGCUCCAAUAGCGUAUAUUAAAGUUGUUGCAGUUAAAAAGCUCGUAGUUGAAUUUCGGGAUUAGUACGUUGGUCGUGCCUUCGGUACGUACUGGUGUUACUGGUUCCUACCUUCUGACGAACCAUCAUGUCAUUAAUUUGGUGUGGCGGGGAAUCAGGACUGUUACUUUGAAAAAAUUAGAGUGUUUAAAGCAGGCUCGCGCUUGAAUACAUUAGCAUGGAAUAAUGAAAUAGGACGUUGACCCUAUUUUGUUGGUUUCUAGGAUUGACGUAAUGAUCAAUAGGGAUAGUUGGGGGCAUUAGUAUUCAAUUGUCGGAGGUGAAAUUCUUGGAUUUAUUGAAGACUAACUACUGCGAAAGCAUUUGCCAAGGAUGUUUUCAUUAAUCAAGAACGAAAGUUAGGGGAUCGAAGACGAUCAGAUACCGUCGUAGUCUUAACCAUAAACUAUGCCGACUAGGGAUCGGAUGAUGUUAUUUUUAAUGACUCAUUCGGCACCUUACGGGAAAC